AACGUAGGACGCAAGCGUUAUCCGGAGUUACUGGGCGUAAAGCGCGGGCAGGCGGCUCGAUGCGUCCGAUGUGAAAGCGCCCCGCUUAACGGGGCGAGGCCAUUGGAAACGGUCGAGCUGGAGGGCAGUAGAGGCAGGCGGAAUUCCGGGUGGAGUGGUGGAAUGCGUAGAGAUCCGGAGGAACACCAGAGGCGAAGGCGGCCUGCUGGGCUGCACCUGACGCUGAUGCGCGAAAGCCAGGGGAGCGAACGGG
rnacentral:rRNA from 1 species